GCAUGUAUGUAUGUAUGUAUAUGCAUGUAUGUAUAUGCAUGUAUGCAUGUAUGCAUGUAUGCAUGUAUGCAUGUAUGCAUGCAUGUAUGCAUGUAUGCAUGUAUGCAUGUAUGCAUGUAUGCAUGUAUGCAUGUAUGCAUGUAUGCAUGUAUGCAUGUAUGCAUGUAUGC